AUUGAACGCUUGCGGCAGGCCUAACACAUGCAAGUCGAACGAGUGGCGGACGGGUGAGUAAUGUCUGGGAAACUGCCUGAUGGAGGGGGAUAACUACUGGAAACGGUAGCUAAUACCGCAUACCAUCGGAUGUGCCCAGAUGGGAUUAGCUAGUAGGGGGGGUAAAGGCUCACAUGGGCGACGAUCCCUAGCUGGGCUGCGAGGCUGACCAGCCACACUGGAAAUUAGACACGGUCCAGACGCCUAGGGUGGUAAGCAGGGGGGAAUAUUGCACAAUGGGCGCAAGCCUUAUGCAGCCAUGCCGCGUGUAUGAAGAAGGCCUUCGGGUUGGAAAGUACUUUCAGCGGGGAGGCGUUACCCGCAGAAGAAGCACAGGCUAACUCCGUGCCAGCAGCCGCGGUAAUUC
rnacentral:rRNA from 1 species